rnacentral:rRNA from 2 species
ACGGAAGGCAGCAGUGGGGAAUAUUGCACAAUGGGCGAAAGCCUGAUGCAGCGACGCCGCGUGAGUGAAGAAGUAUCUCGGUAUGUAAAGCUCUAUCAGCAGGGAAGAAAAUGACGGUACCUGACUAAGAAGCCCCGGCUAACUACGUGCCAGCAGCCGCGGUAAUAUGUAGGGGGCAAGCGUUAUCCGGAUUUACUGGGUGUAAAGGGAGCGUAGACGGUUUGGCAAGUCUGAAGUGAAAUGCGGGGGCUCAACUCCUGAACUGCUUUGGAAACUGUCGAACUAGAGUGCAGGAGAGGUAAGUGGAAUUCCUAGUGUAGCGGUGAAAUGCGUAGAUAUUAGGAGGAACACCAGUGGCGAAGGCGGCUUACUGGACUGUAACUGACGUUGAGGCUCGAAAGCGUGGGGAGCAAACAGGAUUAGAUACCCUGGUA